GACGAACGUUGGCGGCGUGCUUAACACAUGCAAGUCGAACGGAAAGGCCCUGCUUUUGUGGGGUGCUCGAGUGGCGAACGGGUGAGUAACACGUGAGUAACCUGCCCUUGACUUUGGGAUAACUUCAGGAAACUGGGGCUAAUACCGGAUAGGAGCUCCUGCUGCAUGGUGGGGGUUGGAAAGUUUCGGCGGUUGGGGGUGGACUCGCGGCUUAUCAGCUUGUUGGUGGGGUAGUGGCUUACCAAGGCUUUGACGGGUAGCCGGCCUGAGAGGGUGACCGGCCACAUUGGGACUGAGAUACGGCCCAGACUCCUACGGGAGGCAGCAGUGGGGAAUAUUGCACAAUGGGCGGAAGCCUGAUGCAGCAACGCCGCGUGCGGGAUGACGGCCUUCGGGUUGUAAACCGCUUCCGCCUGUGACGAAGCGUGAGUGACGGUAAUGGGUAAAGAAGCACCGGCUAACUACGUG
rnacentral:rRNA from 1 species